rnacentral:rRNA from 1 species
GAUGAACGCUAGCGGGAGGCCUAACACAUGCAAGCCGAGCGGUAUUUGUUCUUCGUUACAGAUAGAGCGGCGCACGGGUGCGGAACACGUGUGCAACCUGCCUUUAUCUGUGGGACAGCCUUUCGAAAGGAAGAUUAAUACCCCAUAAUAUAUUGAGUUGCAUCCUUUUAUAUUGAUAACUCCGGCGGAUAUAGAUGGGCACGCUCAAGAUUAGAUAGUUGGUUAGGUAACUGCUCACCAAGUCAAUGAUCUUUAGGGGGCCUGAGAGGGUGAUCCCCCAGAAUGGUACUGAGACACGGACCAGAAACCUACGGGAGGCAGCAGUGAGGAAUAUUGGACGAUGGGGUAGCGCCUGAUCCAGCCAUCCCGCGUGAAGGACGACGGCCAUAUGGGUUGUAAACUUCUUUUGUAUAGGGAUAAACCUACUAUCGUGAGAGUAGCUGAAGGUACUAUACGAAUAAGCACCGGCUAACUCCGUG